GGGCCCAGCCUCAUGUGGGAGGUGAGAAGAAAGGACCCUUCCGGAGGGCCCCCCCUCAAUCCUGUUGUGCCUAAUUCAGAGGGUUGGGUGGAGGCUCUCCUGAAGGGCUCUGAAGAGCACUGCACCCACAGCUGUGUGCCAGGAGUGGAGACAGGACAGUCGAUACAAGAGGGGCCCCUGUCAUGUCAGCUGUGGGUCCCCUGGGGCAGCCGGGCACUGGGGAAUGGUGACCUUGCCGUGCCGCGCCUCUGCCACAGUCUCCCGUGGGUCCCCACUGCCGGGAUUUUCACCUACCUCCCAGCCUCAGCCAUGAGCACCUGCAGGAUGCUGUGCCACCCACCCCGGUGCCUGCUCCCCUUCCGGAGGCUCUCUCCACCCUCACUGCCGCCUCCUCGGGAAAGCCCCCGCUCCUUCCCCGACCUCACAGCAUGCCGGGUCUGGGGCUUCUGCUGGGGGGCUUACCUGUUUUUCACCCCUGCUAGACUGGGAGCUCCAGGGCAAGGCCGUAACUGCCGUGCGGAUUGUUACGUUGCCCAGCUUGUCUCCACACGUGAUACCCAGCAGGUGCCUAAUAAACUUGUGUAGAAAGAGUG
rnacentral:lncRNA from 1 species